CCCUGGCUGAAUAAGGGGAAGCUGGACCACGUGACCUCCAGAGGUCCCUCCCAGCCUUAACCAUUCUGUAACAUACAUGAAGGAGUAUAAAAGAGGCUGGAUGCAUAAUGGCACAGACUUCCUGGAAUGCUGGAAGAACUGGAAGAACUCUUUAUAAAUCUGCUACUACUGCUGAAAAUCAGCAACUGAAAAUCUGUAUGAAGCAUAUGUUUGGUUUUCAUACUAUCUGUGUAAAAGAAACCAUGUUGAAUGACUCUAGCAUGUCUUAAAUGCUCAGUAACAAUGGAAGCAGCCAAAUGGGAUCCCCCUUGACAUAAAUCACAGUCCCUUCUCAAAUAUAAAAAUA